AUGUUGCUUAGAGGAAGGACUCGUGGAAAUGGACUUGCCUUGGACAUUCGCUGUGACAUUGCAUAUGAGGGAGACCAAAGCCCAGAGAAAUGAAGAUGUCAGGGACAAUCUGCUGGGUCUAUGACUCUCAGUCUGUGCCUUCUCUGAGACUGCAGAGGCUGUGUGACCUCGGGUGAGCUGUUGAGCCUCUCUGAGCUGCAAAAGAAAACCACAUGGCUCUCCUCCAAGAUUGUUGUGAAGACUGAUGUCUAAAAAAUGCCAGCUACAAAAAGGGAUCCACCAGACGCUGCUCCCCGCUGCUGACCUGGCCCAGAGACACUUGUGAUAUCUAGAUGGAAUCUAUCUAGUUAUGUAAAUAACUGACUGGAAAUGGAAAACAAAAUGAACCACAACUUCAAUUUGCCCAUGACAGCAACAAAGGGCACAUCCUAAAGUAAACAGUCACUGGAAUUGGUGAACAAAGAACACCUCCUUUUGGAAACAGAGGCUCGGGACAUUGAAAUUCAUUGCCUGAGGUCCCCAUGCUGUUGAUGGUGUUCCUGUGCCACACAUGCAAGGCUCGUCUGCAGGGGGCCUGGUUGUUCUUCCCACUCACUGAAGGAUCCUGACCAGCUGGGCAAGAUGGUGGGACUCAAGCCUCAUUUUGUGACUGGCUUUUGACCGGAGGCUUCCCUCAGUUUCCUGCCUGGUGGAUCCCUCCAUGGGGCAUCUCACAGCACACCAACAUGAGGAAAGAGGAGUGAAGACCGUGGAGGCAAGCCAAAGGCAUGAGAAAGACAGAGAUGUUGGAGUAACAGAAGUCGCAGAUCCUCCGCGCUCCUUCAGUUCUGGAAUCAGCUUCCGUGUGAAUUGGUCUUCAAGGGCACCACAGCAUGAUUCUCCGAACACACUCCUGUUUUAAGAUUCAAAGAGAUGUCAACCUGAGGCCCUCCAUCAUGCAUUCUUUCUGCUAAUCCCCACAGGAUACAGGUCUCAGACUCCAGGACUCAAUGAUCCUCCUGGCUCUGCCUUGGACAACAGGCACACACCACAGCACCUGACUAAAGUUACUAUUUAAUGGGUACAGAGUUUCAGUUUGGGAAACAAAACAAAAAGUUCUGGAUGCUUGCACAGUACUGUGAAUGUACUUAAAGCCACUUAAAAAUGGCUAAAAUGGUCAAUUUUAUGUUAUGUAUACUUAUCCUAAUAAAAAUCUUGUCUUAUCACUUGCAGCACCAUC